AAAACUUAUGCGCAAAUUAUCAAGAACUUCAAAAUCGUCAAUAGAACAGGAGUGGAAGCAAUCCAUAGUGGUAGAUACUGUAUUCUAAUUGGUGGCACAUCUGUGUAUAUAUUAUCAUAUAACAACAUGCCACCCAGAAAAAGACAAAAAUCAGCUAAUGCUUCUGCAGCCGAGGAAGC
rnacentral:lncRNA from 1 species